AACGAACGCUGGCGGCAUGCCUAACACAUGCAAGUCGAACGAGACCUUCGGGUCUAGUGGCGCACGGGUGCGUAACGCGUGGGAAUCUGCCCUUGGGUUCGGAAUAACAGUGAGAAAUUACUGCUAAUACCGGAUGAUGUCUUCGGACCAAAGAUUUAUCGCCCAGGGAUGAGCCCGCGUAGGAUUAGCUAGUUGGUGGGGUAAUGGCCUACCAAGGCGACGAUCCUUAGCUGGUCUGAGAGGAUGAUCAGCCACACUGGGACUGAGACACGGCCCAGACUCCUACGGGAGGCAGCAGUGGGGAAUAUUGGACAAUGGGCGCAAGCCUGAGCCAGCAAUGCCGCGUGAGUGAUGAAGGCCUUAGGGUUGUAAAGCUCUUUUACCCGGGAUGAUAAUGACAGUACCGGGAGAAUAAGCUCCGGCUAACUCCGUG
rnacentral:rRNA from 1 species